rnacentral:lncRNA from 1 species
UAAUAUCUAAUUUAUUGAGCUACACAUGCAUAUUUAAAAUAACAUUAUAUACAAUAAUACAUUAAUACAAAAUACUGCUUCCCCCCCCCCAUUCUUACAUGUCAAGUAACAAUUUUAUUCAAAGUCUACAUGCAUCUUGGACAUUGUCUUCAUUGUAUCCAGAGCCAUGGUUUCUUCAAGUGUAUAUCCUUCAAUUGCAUCUAAGUUGUUUGAAAUACAGCAUUUUAAAAUACUUGUCUGACACUGUCAUUGAUAAGUUUGAUCCAAGUUGUCACAUUAGGACAGUUUGCCCCCUACUCCCAACUUAUCAUGUAGGUGCAGGUUUAUAAUCCUUACAACAAAAGUAUUCACUUAUUGCUCUUGAAGUUGCUCUUUGAAAGGCUGGUUUACAAAACCUAACUCUUGUAAUAAUGAGAGUAUACCUACCCCCUGGAAUAAUUACUAAGUUUCUUCCCACUCCUCUUUUUCACCCAUCCCAGCAGGAGUCUAUAACUGUACUUGCAUCGUUUGAGGUUAUGGUGGGCUAAAAUGUGAGGAGCGACCAGAGGUAGAGCAGUUGCAGGAGAUGACAAGAUCUAGUUAUGGAUGUGAUUGAAGAGAACAAAGGCAGCCAAAGAGCUCUAAGCUGGGUUGCUGGGUGGAUCACCACCAUGGAUCAGUGAAGUUUCUUGGAGUGGGAAUGAAGUAGUCUUUGAUGAAGCAUCAAAGACUUGGAGAUAGCUGGGAGUGUCUUGGAGCCAGGCAGGCGGCAGAGAUGAGAGGACAGCCUCUCCAUGUAGCAAGGGAGGAUGUGGAGCAAGGGUACAGAAAUAGCAUCGGGCCAGCAGUGGCCAGUCAUGGACAAUGCCAAUAUGAAGUCCUGGUCCAGUUGUAGGGGUGGGGGGAGGGAGAGGAGCGGCCUGCAUGUGUCAGGACUGGGAAGAAAUGUUAUCUUGAGGAAAGAGACAUGCAGAAUGGACAUGCUCUGGAGGAAGACUGAGAUGAUUGGGAAGUCUGUGGCUCACAAAGAGGGGUCCACCUAGACGGCCCCUAACAGGUUCCUCGGGCUCUCCCACCACACUUGUCGCAUGAACUGUCAUUGUUUUCUAGAUUGUAAGGAGAGUGGGCAGUAUGUGCAUUCUGGGUACUGCUAUAUUCACAGCAACUAGAAGAGGCAUAUAAAUCUUCAGGAAGCAUAUGCUGAAGGAAUAAACAGGGAGAGUGGAGAUUAGGAGGGGAAGAAAGGAAGAACCAGGUCCUAUGGGAGGGACUUGAAAAGGACAGCAAAGGAGAGAUGGGUCAGGAAAGGCAUGAUCAAGACUUCAGAGGGCAGUUGGCAUCAAGGACCUGGGGGACUGGAAAGAAAUGGACCAGAGAUUGCACAAGAGAUUCCACUGGGACCUUCAGUGUGACCACAACAGCCUAAAGUCGCAGCCCAGGAGGAACUUGGCAGGUGCACUUCCUGGCAAAGGCAUGAGGCAUGGGGACAAGUGGCAGAGGAGAUCAUGGGGCUGAGACUAGACUGUGGCUUCUCUUAAGCCUUACCCUAGGAGAAGAGAUUUGCCUCCAUGGUCUCAGACUUGCUCAGUGACUGAGACAGUGGGGUGCUGUUUGGGUGUUUUUGGCUUUAACAUCUGAAUACGAAUAAAGGAUCUAUGUGUUUGUUGUGGUGACUCACAAGUAAUACGCCUCAAACUCCACUUCUGUGUAGCAUGGGCAUUUCCAAUAAAAGGGAAUGAAUAAUAUUCAGUUCCCAGUUUACAGGAAGAUUUAAAGGCAGUGAUUCUCAAAAGUCUGAUCUCAGGAGCAGCAGUAGCAUCACCUGGAAAUGUGUUACAAAUGGGAAUUCUCAGCCCUUACCCCAGACCAACUAAAACAGAAACAGGGUUAGGCCCAGAAAUCCACGUUUUAACAAGUUCUCCAGUAGAUCCUGAAGCAUGUGAAAGUUUAAGAACUACCACAGGUCACGGAUGGAUUGUUUUAAAGCCACAAUCCCCUCUUCCAGAAACCUUCAGCAUCUGCUAUACCAGUUUUUUUUUUUUUUAAGAUUUUAUUUAUUCAUAGAGACACAGAGAGAGAGAGGCAGAGACACAGGCAGAGGGAAAAGCAGGCUCCAUGUAGGGAGCCUGACAUGGGACUCGAUCCCUUGUCUCCAGGAUCACACCCCAGGCUGCAGGUGGCGCUAAACUGCUGUGCCACGGGGGCUGCCCUAUACCAGUUUUUAGUGAGAACAAACAAGCAGCACAAUGAGAGAAGAGCUAAGGAAGAUCUACAACAGAACGGAGUAGUGGGGAAGAGGGCAGGGUCAGUGCCUGGAUUGGUUUCCUUGGCCUCUGAAGCCUCAGCCUCCCUCCCACGAGGGGAAAGCAGGUACUUACCUUACCAGUGGUUGGCACGGUGUUACGUAUUCAGUUAUGCUGUUUAUUGUCAUUAUCAUUAAAGCAGAACUCAGAGCUGAUAACCUCAUGGAAUCAGCUCAAUAGCUAGCUAGGUUCUUCCAAGGCCGGGAUUUGGUAUCACGUGUGUGUGAUAACUACACUAGCCUUCUUGUUUCUGGUUUCUAAGAAUUCACAUUUCCCAAAGCUCUGCAGAACCCCAGGGGGCUGAGACUGAUCCUCUGGCCUCUUCUAAGCCUACCCUACUCAGACUUGAUGGCCUCAGACAUCAAGGGGCCCACCCCCUGCUGUCAGAUAGGUGUUCAACACCUGAGCAUGUCUAGUCCUUCAGGGAAUAAAUGGAAUGGCACAGCAACUGGUCCACGAGGGGCAGGUGCUCUCAGAAGAGCGACCCCUCCUUAGGCCACUUCUACCCCAUGGGUCAGGAAAGCCUAGUGACCUCUUGCAAAGCUUUGUAAGGAAAAGAUGUUAAAUCAUAGGCUCAAGAGGCUAUCUUGAGUCAAAAAAAUACCAGCACACACUAUAGAUGGAGCUUCCAAUGUCUAUCUCCUCCUCAGAACAGAAGCUCCAGGGGGCUCAGAACUUUCUUUUAUUCCUGUAACAUUGCACUAUAAACAGAGCCUGGCACUUAGUAGGCAUUAAAAUACUUUGGAAUUGGCAAACAUUUGCUUAAUCAGUGGCUUUGUCAUUAGAAGGAACAAUGGUUGAUUUCUGUCAAGAAGAGGAAACCGAGGGUCUGGGUGGAGCCCCCUGGGUUGUGGCGAGCCCGCUAGGCUGGGCCCGUGGCUCAGAGCUACACAGUGUGGAGGCCCAUGGCACUGUUUAGCUGGGGCUUUUCCACAAGGUGCGUGGUGCGCAGGACUCUUACUGCAAUGCAGGCAGAGGCCAGCAGGGGAUCAUUUGGGAGGAGCCUCAAGGCACAUUCAAGAUGAGGGACUCAAAUACCCGAAGUCCAGUCCAGUCCGGGGAAACAACAGUCACCACAAUCCUCUUAUUUGCUCCUUGGCAAUUCCCAGCUCUCUCUGAGCUGAACUUAAGCCCACCCUUUCUAGCACCUUGCCUGCGCACCACAGGCCUUGACAGUUGCCCCAGCC